rnacentral:rRNA from 1 species
UACGGAGGAUGCAAGCGUUAUCCGGAUUUAUUGGGUUUAAAGGGUGCGCAGGUGGCUUAGUAAGUCAGUGGUGAAAGUCUGCCGCUUAACGGUAGGACUGCCAUUGAUACUGCUAGGCGUGAGUUUGGAUGAGGUAGGCGGAAGGUGUAGUGGAGCGGUGAAAUGCAGAGAUCGUACACAGAAAACCGAUUGCGAAGGCAGCUUACUAAUCCGCAACUGACACUGAGGAACGAAAGCGUGGGGAUCAAACAGGAUUAGAUACCCGGGUAGUCC